CCUACGGGGGGCAGCAGUAGGGAAUAUUGCUCAAUGGGGGAAACCCUGAAGCAGCAACGCCGCGUGGAGGAUGAAGGUUUUCGGAUUGUAAACUCCUUUUGUUAGAGAAGAUAAUGACGGUAUCUAACGAAUAAGCACCGGCUAACUACGUGCAAGCAGCCGCGGUAAUACGGAGGGUGCAAGCGUUACUCGGAAUAACUGGGCGGAAAGAGCGCGUAGGCGGGAUAGCAAGUCAGAUGUGAAAUCCUAUGGCUUAACCAUAGAACUGCAUUUGAAACUGUUAUUCUAGAGUAUGGGAGAGGUAGGUGGAAUUCUUGGUGUAGGGGUAAAAUCCGUAGAGAUCAAGAGGAAUACUCAUUGCGAAGGCGACCUGCUAGAACAUAACUGACGCUGAUGCGCGAAAGCGUGGGGAGCAAACAGGAUUAGAUACCCGAGUAGUC
rnacentral:rRNA from 1 species